UACGAAGGGGGCUAGCGUUGUUCGGAUUUACUGGGCGUAAAGCGCGUGUAGGCGGGCCGUUAAGUUGGGGGUGAAAGCCCGAGGCUCAACCUCGGAACUGCCUUCAAAACUGGCGGCCUGGAGCAGAUGAGAGGCGAGUGGAAUUCCGAGUGUAGAGGUGAAAUUCGUAGAUAUUCGGAGGAACACCAGUGGCGAAGGCGACUCGCUGGCAUCUUGCUGACGCUGAGACGCGAAAGCCGUGGGGAGCAAACAGGG
rnacentral:rRNA from 1 species